rnacentral:antisense_RNA from 1 species
CGGCGCUCUGACCGGCCCCAUAGAAAUAGUUAUAGCUGUCCCCGAUCAUCUGGCUGAACAAAAUGUCAGGAUUCGGACGUCCGCCA